rnacentral:rRNA from 1 species
GAUGAAUGCUGGCGGCGUGCCUAAUACAUGCAAGUCGAGCGGUAACAGGGAAUUCCACAGUUUCCUUGACACACCUAGCGCUAUGAUCGUAGGUUGUUGACUUCGAGGGAACCGUGGAAUUCUGCUGACGAGCGGCGGACGGCUGAGUAACGCGUGGGAACGUACCCCAAACCUGAGGGAUAACGCACCGAAAGGUGUGCUAAUACCGCAUAUGAUCUUCGGAUUAAAGCUUUCGGGCGGUUUGGGAAUGGCCUGCGUACGAUUAGAUAGUUGGUAGGGUAAGUGGCCUACCAAGUCGACGAUCGUUAGAUGGUUUGAGAAGAUGAUCAUCCAGACUGGGACUGAGACACGGCCCAG